AUGUUCCCUGAAGUCGUGCCCUCCCAGAAAGUCUCUAAAAUCAAGAACAUUGGAAGUGGGGUUUUGGGUGAGGGGUUGUGGUGGCGGAAUACAGAAGUCCUGGCUUGCAGGGCCUUCUCUGCUCUCUAUACUCUGAGGAAGCCCUCCCCUUCGACCCGAAAGCAUUUUGGGAGAGUGCUAGGCUUGGAAGACAGGAGACCUAGUGAGAGCAAGGCGGUGGUAACUAGUCGAGAGAGAAGCGCUUGGCAGGAGCUCUCUGCGGGACUUGAGCUCCCUGGCUGCUCGGGAUCCCUACGUCCGCGGCUGCGGAAGGACCAGACGGGAGGACGCCAGCAGUUGCUUACUGGAGCCUGGAGGGAAGGGGUCUGCAAACUCUUCUGUAAAGGGACAGAGAGGAAGUAUAUUAAGCUUUGCAGGCCAUAUGAUCGCUUUACCAACUACUCAACUGCAACAUUAAAGCAGCAACAGGAAAUGAAAAUGCAUACACAAAUAUGUUUGUCUUAUGAGGAGUAUGAGCAAUAUGUGGAAUGGAUGCAAGUCAAGUUUAGAUCAGUCAACCCUUUUCUAACCAGCAGAUUAUCGAGUUAA
rnacentral:lncRNA from 1 species